GACGAACGCUGGCGGCGUGCUUAACACAUGCAAGUCGAACGGAAAGGCCCUGCUUGCCGGGUACUCGAGUGGCGAACGGGUGAGUAACACGUGGGUGAUCUGCCCUGCACUUCGGGAUAAGCCUGGGAAACUGGGUCUAAUACCGGAUAGGAGCCAUUUUUAGUGUGAUGGUUGGAAAGUUUUUUCGGUGUAGGAUGAGCUCGCGGCCUAUCAGCUUGUUGGUGGGGUAAUGGCCUACCAAGGCGGCGACGGGUAGCCGGCCUGAGAGGGUGGACGGCCACAUUGGGACUGAGAUACGGCCCAGACUCCUACGGGAGGCAGCAGUGGGGAAGAUUGCACAAGGGGCGCAAGCCGGAUGCAGCGACGCCGCGUGGGGGAUGACGGCCUUCGGGUUGUAAACUCCUUUCGCUAGGGACGAAGCUUUUUGUGACGGUACCUAGAUAAGAAGCACCGGCUAACUACGUG
rnacentral:rRNA from 1 species